rnacentral:lncRNA from 1 species
UAUGUGCGAAGAGCACUUCAUUGAGUACCAUUGUCUUGAAUGACAAUCACUUUGAAGGAACUCUCCCUGUGUCGUUGCUCAACUGUAGCGGUUUAGAAGUUCUUGAUAUGGGGAAUAACGCUAUAAAUGACCUAUUUCCAUCUUGGCUAGGAACACUUCAAGAACUGCAGGUUCUAAUAUUAAAGUCCAAUGUGUUCCAUGGACCAAUUAGGACUUGUCAGACUACGUUUUGCUUUCCCAAGUUGAGAAUUUUUGAUCUCUCUCAUAAUGAAUUCAGUGGCUCACUUCCUGCAAAUUUUUUUGGAAACUUCAAGGCAAUGAUUAAAUUAGAGGGUGAAGACACAGGACAGAUUGAGUACAUGAAACCACACGAAAAUACAAUUUACACAUCGUAUGACGAUUCUGUGAGUUUGGUGAUCAAAGGCCAGGAUGUUGUGCUAGAAAGAAUCAGCACAAUUAUGACAACCAUAGACCUCUCGAGCAACCAUUUUGAAGGUGUCAUUCAGCAAACACUAAAGGAUCUCAGCUCACUUUGGCUUCUCAAUUUAUCCCAUAACAAUCUCACAGGUGAUAUUCCAAUGGAAUUGGGGAAAUUGAAUACGCUUGAAGCGUUAGAUCUCUCUUGGAAUAGGCUCACUGGAAAGAUUCCGCAGGAAUUGACAAGAAUGAAUUUUCUGGCCUUCUUAAACCUCUCUCAUAAUCUUCUUAUUGGACCAAUUCCUCAAGGUCCACAAUUCAACACAUUUGAAAAUGACUCGUAUGGCGGUAACCUUGAUUUAUGUGGUCCUCCUUUAUCAAAGCAAUGUGGAACGAGUGAUCCAUCACAUGCUCCUCAACCAUUGGACUCUGAAGAAGAUGAAGACGAGUCAUAUUUUUUAAGUGGAUUUACUUGGGAAUCAGUAGUCAUAGGCUACAGUUUUGGACUAGUUGUUGGAACUGUUUUGUGGAGCCUCAUGUUUAAAUAUCGUAAGCCAGAAUGGUUUGUGGAAUUUUUUGAAGGCAUUUUCCCCAAGAAAAUGAGAAGGUCAAAUAAGACAAGGCCGAGACGGCGGAUUUAAUUGUGAUGUAUUUUAGUUAGUUGUCUAACUGAACUUUUAUGUUUUUCUCUUCUUAAUUUUCUGUUUGUUGUUUGUAUAUGUUUUGAUAGCAACUUAAUUAUUUGUGUUAUUUUAAUCAGUAGAAUGAGCCACCCGUUAACCUGUGACUUAGUGAUAUAUGGAGGCGAUUCUCAAAUGUUUAGAAACAAUAUUUGCUUCUGAAUUUGCCUGUAUAGAGAAACAGAUCCACAAGUAAUAUAGAGAUAUUGUGUGUGCUUCUUAGUUGCGCGGACUCUUCACUUUUGAUGCUGCACCCGUCUCGGAUUCUCCAAAAAUACACUACUUUUGGCGAAUCCGACACGCACCCGUUGGCACUUUUGAAGAGUCCGAGCAACAUAGGUGUGCUUUACUUUCUUUUGUAUUGUUUUUACUUAUUCAAGGACCUGGUCCCUUGAAUCCUGCUAGUUCCAUACCAGACUACAGUUAACUAAGAUGUGUAUGUAUAUUGAAAUCUAAAUACAUCGUGUCGUUCAGUGACAAAUUAAACCUAGUGAAGCUUCUGCUCUGCUUCAAUUCAAGCAAUCCUUUGAAAUCUCUCGGCCCAGUCGGUGUUGUAGAGCUUCUUUCCCAAAAACAAUCUCUUGGAAUGAGAGUACCGAUUGUUGCACUUGGGAUGGAUUCAAUUGUGACAUGUUUACAGGUUAUGUUAUCGGUCUAAACCUUAGUUGUAGUUAUCUUUCAUGGAACUAUUCCUUCAACAAUCUCUAAAUUGAAGCAACUCACACUUUUAGAUCUUUGGUCUAACUGUCUUGGAGGAGAAUUUUUGGAUGCAUUCUCAAACUUCCAAGUGCUAGCUGAAUUGGGUCUUUCUAAUAACAGCUUUAUCGGUUCAUUUUCCCCGUUCAUUUUAAGCUUGAAACGUCUACAAAGAUUAGACUUGUUGAGUAAUUCCCUAUCCGGUCCACCACCUAGCAAUUCCAGAGAAGCUAACUGAACUGUAUUAUAUUUCUCCCUUUGUUUCCCAGUGGUUUUUGCAGAGAUAGUUGAUGACCUCGAGAUGAAUACACAUCUAGAGAAAAAUUAGAACAUAGGUGAGUAUUAAUUAUUUUCUCAAGUCUUCUCCGUUUUCUAAGAAGUUUUGUGAAACACUACAAAAUAUGAGUAACAAGUUGUUAGAAGUGACUAGUACUCAUCCAUGGACCACAAGUUGUGAAUUUAGUGAUGCCAAAUUAAAGUUGUAUUAUUUUCUCUCAAUUUAUGCCAAAGUUGGAAAUAGACUUGUGAGGGGGAAAAUACCCCAUUUUAUUUGUCUGGAUAUUUUUCUUUUUUCUUUAAUUUAAACCUCACACUUCCAUAGACAAGUCAACAACAACAUCAAUAACAUACCCAGUGUAAUCCCUUAAGUGGGGGUUUAAGAAAGGUAGAGUGUACGGAAACCUUAUUUCUUUGAGGUAGAGAUAGAGAGGUUGCUUUCGAGAAUAAAAUACAAGUUGUGAGCAACCAAUUAUGUCCGUCAUCAAAAAUAUCAAACAACAUCAGUUGUUUAGAGGCAAAUAUGGUAAUUGGUAAGAGCUUAAAGGUAAAUCUGAAGUAUUUUAUAAGUGUUGGCUUAUCUGAGAAUUAGAUACUAAUCCCUCUGUUUCAGUAUGCUUGUAUGGUUUUGACUUGACAUGGAAUUUAAAAAAGUAAUUUUUUUUUUUUGUAUCUUGUGGUCUCAAAUUAAAAUAUGUAGAAUGUAACAUGAACCACUAAUUGGUUCAAUGACUUCAAAAUUCCACUGUAACAUUCUCACUUGACUUAGUCAAGCAAUAGUAUCUUUUGGAGGUCAAAGUUAAAAUUUGAAGCCAAGUUUAGGGUCCAAUAUAUGUAUUAUGCCAUUAAAAUAUGUAGAAUGUACCAUGAACCACUUAACCACUAAUUGGUUCAAUGACUUCAAAAUUCCACUGUAACAUUCUCACUUGACUUAGUCAAGCAAUAGUAUCUUUCAUUGGAAAUUUGUUACAAGUUCUGCACCAAAUUUUUCUACAGUGUGUUUACGUAACGGGACCAAUUCACAUUGUUUUGCGUAACACACACUGCAGAGAAAGUCGAUGACCUCGAAAUGAAAACAACAUUCAGAGAAAACAAAUAUGGAAUAAUUGGUACUAGCAACCAAGAUUUAAAGACUUGAUUGAGUCUUUCUGGAAAUUGACUUAACACUGGGGACAAUUUUUUUGCAACCACAAAUUAGUUUGUGGUAGAUGGGGGGCCAGUACCCCAUUUUAUUUGUCUGGAUGUUUUACUUCACAGUCCGAUAGACAAGUCAAUAACAACUAUAACAUAUUCAGUAUAAUCUCAUAAGUGAGGUCUAGAGAAAAGUAGAAUGUGCACAGACCUUAUCUCUAUGAGAGGGCUCUCGACUCAAAAAUAAAGCAUGGCCAGGCAUUUUGAAAAAGGGAUUACGAAAAUUAGAGUAAUAACAACAAUAAAAUAAUAUGAAAAGAAGAGUAGUAUAACAUACAGAUGAAUGAACAAUAUGAAAACAAAAUAAAGCGGUAUUCGAAGCACAAGAUACACUUGUGAUACCCGGGAAAAUAAAACUAUGAAUAUAAUACACGAUAGACAAGUCAAUCUCCACAAAUUCUUUGGGAAGUGAUAGAAUUUUGAGUUCAAAUCAUGAAGUUAGUAUCCUAGACAUGUGUAAUACACAAUUGCACAUAGUAUGGACAAGAGGGGGUUGCUUAGGUGGUAGCACCUUCCACCUCUUAGCUUAAUGUUAAUUAUAUAUACUACUUUAUUCAUGUUUUAGUUUGACUCGGUGAAGAAGAUUCUUGAAUUUUGAUUGAUUAUGGGAGAAGGCGUGGAAAAAAACUCUAAAAAUUAUGUACUGAUAUUGUAUAUCAUUUUCCAUCUAUAUUGUUAUGAUUAAAGUCCUAACAAGAAUGUGUAUGUUGUAUUUUUUUCUUCUCUAUUUUUUUACUAUUUGUUUUUCUUUCUAUUAGACUACUUUAAUUCUAUUUUAUAUGAAUUUCUGAAUGUCGUAAAUAUGCAUUUUUAAUUGGUGACUUGAUUGAAAUUUUGCUAACUAGUAACUAAAAUUUAAAAUUUACCAUUACUAGCAUGAAAGGAAUUAAUUUUUUAACAAUAAAAUACGACCCUCAUUUAAUGUUUCUUAGUCACAAUCUUUAAAUUUAUUAUUUUUAUAGUUAUUGCAUUUUAUUACUCAUUAAAGGGAUAUUUUCACAAAAAUUACACAAGUGUAACUCAUAAACUAGUAUAUAUAUAUAUGUGUGUGGAUAAUGAUGAUUGAUUUGUAAGAACGAACAUUCUGUUAGUUGUUGAAUACAAAAAAAAUUUUAAAAAAAGAUGGGAAUUCUGUUUUUCUUUUAUUCACUUGUCUGUUUUCUGUUGGUAAUUAGUGAAAGUUUUUCUUCUUCCUCUGUGAUGAUGCAUCAUGUUUGCUCUCCCACUGAAGCUUUUGCUUUGCUUCACUUCAAACAAUCCUUUCAAAUCUCUGACCGACCUAGAUGUGGGGAUGAUAUCCCAAAAACAAAGUCUUGGAAUGAGAGUAGGGAUUGCUGCAGUUGGGACGGGUCACUUGUGACAUGUUAACUGGUCAUGUUAUCGGAUUGGACCUUAGUUGCAGUCUGCUUAAUGGAACUAUUCAUCCCAAUAGCAGCCUCUUCCAACUCCAUCAUCUCCAGACACUAGACCUUGCUUACAAUGACUUCUAUUCUUCUUCAAUCCCGCAUAACAUUGGCCGAUUGAGGAAUUUGAGGCAUCUCAACCUUUCUUAUUCUUUCUCUGGAGGGGAAAUCCCAACAGAAAUAUCAUACCUUUCCAAUUUGGUUUCACUUGACCUUUUAUGUUAUGGAUGUGGUCUCCAACUUGAUGAGAGAACAUUUGAAACAAUUCUUCAGAACUUCAGAAAUCUGGAGGUACUAUCUCUCUAUGGUGUCAACAUCUCAUCUCCGAUACCUGUGAAUAUUUCUUCAUCCUCCUUAAGGAACAUGGAUCUUGGACAUACUAAUCUGCGAGGUGUUCUCCCAGAGAGUCUUUUCUUUCUGCCAAAAUUGGAAACGCUCUAUUUGAGUGACAAUGAUCUUCUCAAAGGAGUUUUACCAAAGAUCCACCCGAGCAACACUCUGUUGAUGUUGGAUAUUUCCUACACAGGAAUCUCUGGUGAGCUGCCUGAUUCAGUUGGCACCUUCAGUUCCUUGAAUCAAUUGAACCUCCGAGGAUGUCAAUUCUCUGGUUCCAUUCCUGAUUCCAUUGGCAAUCUUACACAAAUUUGGCGUUUGGAUUUCCGUAAUAAUCAUUUCACCGGCAAUAUUCCUUCCACAAUCUCUCAAUUGAAGCAGCUCACAUGUCUAUAUCUUUCGUCCAACUCUUUUUCAGGUGAAAUUCCCGACAUUUUCUCUAACCUCCAAGAGCUAAGUUGUGUAUAUCUUCGUAACAACAGCUUCAUCGGUUCGUUUCCUUCUACAAUUGUAAGCUUGCCACAUCUUCUAGACUUAGACUUGUCGAGAAAUUCCCUAUCUGGCCCACUGCCUAAUAAUUUUAGCAUGCUUCAAAACCUAAACGAACUGCAUUUGUUGUACAACUCGCUAAAUGGUACCAUACCAUCUUCGGUGUUUAGCCUCCCUUUACUAGUUGAGUUGCGGCUCGGUAAUAAUCGAUUUAGUGGACUACCCAAUGAGCUCAAAACAAACCCAAAAUUAGAACGCCUGGGUUUAAGCCAUAAUCAACUCAGUGGUUCUUUUCCUCAAUCACUUGCGAAUCUCACAAACCUUUCUACCCUUGACCUUUCAUCGAAUAACAUCACCGGUGAUGCUGGAAUAAAUAUCACCUUUCCUAGCCUAGAAAUUUUGCAGUUAUCAUCUUGUGAACUGAAGGAUUUUCCACACUUCUUGACAAAUGCAAAGAAACUUCAUGUCUUGGAUAUUUCUAACAAUAAGAUUCGUGGCCAAAUCCCAAACUGGUUUAGUAGCAUAAGGUGGGACUACUUGUACUACCUAAAUCUUUCGCAUAAUUCUUUAACAGGCCACCUACAACAAUUUCAUUUCCAUAAUCUAAGGUAUCUUGAUCUUAAAUUUAACUCCCUUCAGGGUCCACUCUCUUCAUCCAUUUGUAACAUGAGCGAUCUUAAAUUUCUAGAUUUAUCACUCAACAACUUCAGUAACUUGAUUCCAAGUUGCUUGGGAAGCAAGGCUAAACUAAGAGUGUUGGACUUAAGAAGGAACAAUUUCAUAGGGAGUCUUCCCCCGUUAUGUGCGAAGAGCACUUCAUUGAGUACCAUUGUCUUGAAUGACAAUCACUUUGAAGGAAUUCUCCCUAUGUCGUUGCUCAACUGUAGUGGUUUAGAAGUUCUUGAUAUGGGGAAUAAUGCUAUAAAUGACACAUUUCCAGCUUGGCUAGGAACACUUCAACAACUGCAGGUCUUAAUAUUAAAGUCUAAUAUGUUCCAUGGACCAAUUAGUACUUGUCAGACUACAUUUUGCUUUCCCAAGUUGCGAAUUUUUGAUCUUUCACGUAAUGAAUUCAGUGGCUCUCUCCCUGCAAAAGUUUUUGGAAACUUUAAGGCAAUGAUUAAAUUAGACGAUGAAGUCUCAGGAGAGAUCAAGUACAUGAAAACAUUCGGGACUGUAUAUUCCACACCGUAUGAGGAUUCUGUGAGUUUGGUGAUCAAAGGCCAGGAUAUUGAGCUAGAAAGAAUCAGCACAAUUAUGACAACCGUAGACCUCUCGAGCAAUCAUUUUGAAGGUGUCAUUCCUAUAACACUAAAGGAUCUCAGCUCACUUUGGCUACUCAAUUUAUCCCAUAACAAUCUCAUAGGUGAUAUUCCAAUGGAAUUGGGGCAAUUGAAUACGCUUGAAGCGUUAGAUCUGUCUUGGAAUCGGCUCACUGGAAAGAUUCCACAGGAAUUGACAAGAAUGAAUUUUCUUUCCUUCUUAAACCUCUCUCAUAAU